ACGGCUCAGUAACACGUCGGUAACCUACCCUCGGGAGGGGGAUAACCCCGGGAAACUGGGGCUAAUUCCCCAUAGGCCUGAGGUACUGGAAGGUCCUCAGGCCGAAAGGGACUUAUGUCCGCCCGAGGAUGGGCCGGCGGCCGAUUAGGUAGUUGGUGGGGUAAUGGCCCACCAAGCCGAAGAUCGGUACGGGCUGUGAGAGCAGGAGCCCGGAGAUGGACACUGAGACACGGGUCCAGGCCCUACGGGGCGCAGCAGGCGCGAAACCUCCGCAAUGCGGGAAACCGCGACGGGGGGACCCCGAGUGCCGUGGCAACGCCACGGCUUUUCCGGAGUGUAAAAAGCUCCGGGAAUAAGGGCUGGGCAAGGCCGGUGGCAGCCGCCGCGGUAAUACCGGCGGCCCGAGUGGUGGCCGCUAUUAUUGGGCCUAAAGCGUCCGUAGCCGGGCCCGUAAGUCCCUGGCGAAAUCCCACGGCUCAACCGUGGGGCUUGCUGGGGAUACUGCGGGUCUUGGGACCGGGGGAGGCGGGGGGUACCCCUGGGGUAGGGGUGAAAUCCUAUAAUCCCAGGGGGACCGCCAGUGGCGAAGGCGCCCCGCUGGAACGGGUCCGACGGUGAGGGACGAAGGCCAGGGGAGCAAACCGGAUUAGAUACCCGGGUAGUCCUGGCUGUAAAGGAUGCGGGCUAGGUGUCGGGUGAGCCUCGAGCUCGCCCGGUGCCGUAGGGAAGCCGUUAAGCCCGCCGCCUGGGGAGUACGGCCGCAAGGCUGAAGCUUAAAGGAAUUGGCGGGGGAG
rnacentral:rRNA from 1 species